GGCGGUAUCGACUAGGGGUUUAGGUCGCCACCCUCUCAAGGUGGAAACACGGGUUCGAAUCCCGUUACCGCUACCA
rnacentral:tRNA from 2 species